UAGGGAAUCUUCCACAAUGGGCGAAAGCCUGAUGGAGCAACGCCGCGUGUGUGAUGAAGGCUUUCGGGUCGUAAAGCACUGUUGUAUGGGAAGAACAGCUAGAAUAGGAAAUGAUUUUAGUUUGACGGUACCAUACCAGAAAGGGACGGCUAACUACGCGCCAG
rnacentral:rRNA from 1 species